AUCUCUUCUCUGGUGAGCUUCUCUCCCCUCUACGCUUACCUCCGAUCACCUCCCUGUCGGCAGGGCAGAUGAAGCGCAACCUCCCAUGGCUGCGAUUAGGUUGUGCCUUGGCCGCGGCCUCACAACGAGGUUGCAAGGCUGGGCGCGACCUCAGCUGCAGCCUUGCAGCGAGGUCGGGCGCGAUCUCGGCCUCGCAGUCAAAGAAAAUCAGCUGCUCUUUUUGUUGGUUCUUCCUCUCGUUGGAGAAUAAGCGUGACAAUGAGUUUAAUGUCUGUUUUUCUGAGUUGUUUGAUAACUAACUACAAGUUAUCAAAAAUCAUGGAAUUCUAACAUUGUGCCCAUUGGUACAUUACGUUUUGGUGUUUGUAGGCACAAGACUGUGCUAAUGAAGGUUGAUGUCGUCAGGAGGUUCCAGUUGCUAGUCCUCUUGCCGCAAGAACUUUCGUUUUGGUCUUUUAGUGUAGUUAUCUGCUUAGAGUCAUUUUUUCAGACUUGGAUUGGUUUGUACACUGGAUUUUGUGUGGUUUGUCUUUAAGUAAUGUACUAGUUGGGUUUUGUU